UCUAUCACACACAAUCAAAAUUUCAGUCCGUCACAAAAGAAAAAAAUACAAAAAUAGCCCAGCAGUUCUCUAGGUCUGUUGCAGACGAUGGUGUCUGGUUAAACGAUGGGCCUCCGCGAAGCCCUGCUGCUCAUUGGAUUUUUCCUCUCACUGGUCGCUGGGGUCAAUAGCUGCACACGCAAGGUCUAUAUUGCCUGUAGAAAGCCGGCGCCGUGUGGCAAGUGAUUUAUACACUAUGGCAAAACUAAACUGGAUUCUCUUUUACACAUUUCUGUUCACUCUAAUGUCAAUACUUGCAACUGGAAGCGCUUGUAAGAAGAAAAUAGCUUGUUCCGGCAGAGCACCGUGUCGACGCGGACCAUAUAGGGAAUAGAAACUUUAAAACAAGAAACAUAUUGGAUAUAAUACUUAUGAACGUAACGUAAAGAAAACAUAUACUAAUAACAUUUCGUGGAAAAAUCUACAGCUUCCUAAAACCAUCUAUAAUUAUGGAAUAUUUUUCCGGGCUUACACUUUAAAAAUCCUCGUCAGAGAAGUACCAUCAAUAUAGAAUUAUUGACCGCAAAUAGGUAAUGUUCAGCAAGGAAGAUGGAUAAAAUUGAAAACGCAAUAGAUGAAGCUACGUCCUAAGUAGAGUAUAAUUUUUAAAUCAUCACUCAUUGACAAGAUAAAACUCAACGACUGAAUAUUUGGAUAUAUUCCACAUCCUUUAUGGAUUGAGAUUUUCAAACCGUGAACAUAAAAUAAUACUUAUAUAGAAAAGAUUUAUAUAUAUUUCAACUUCAGAAAAUAUCCUGCGUGUGUUUAGUCAAACCGUAUCAUCAAGCUGAUAUUUUUCACAUUUAAACAAACUUUCGGUUUUAAUUUUUUAAAUAUUUUAC